CUUUUUUUUGCUUGGUCGUGCAGUUUGGAUCACGCCGACUACCAGCUGAAUCAACAACAAAAAAUGAUCCCAGGGACGAACGGCGGCGAUGAGUGGUUUGGGGCUAGGUGAGCGGCGGCCGUCGUCCCGCAACGAUAUGAGUGGGCCCAGCGGGAGCUCGGACUCUACGCUGUUCUCUCAAGCCCGGUGUGGUGGACGACGCCUCGCCAGCAACAAACACCUGGCCAUAGUCGGGCACAGUCCGUGACUCAGGGGUUGGAGGCAUCCUUGUCUAGCCGAUGAGCUGGUUAUGGUCGGGCGGGCAGCGCGGCGUGGCUGCUGCGUGAAGAGUGAUUAUCACUCCGACAGGUGGAUGCACACGUAUAAUGGGUGUGUCAUGGCUGUAUUUUUCCCGUGACUAUCGGAAAGUAAUCUCCUUUAUAUGACUAUAUUUUGGGGGGAAUUUGUACUUAGAUGGCUAAGCAACAAAGGCAGGAGAUUCCAGCGAUAGAUUUGAGGUCGGCGCCUCACGAAGGCAUGCUCCUUGCCGGGAGAGGCAGGGGCAUCCUUUCUUGGUCUGCAUCUUUCACCUCUGUUGCUUCAGAUAGCGGCACAAGUGGAGCAGGAGGCUGCAAUGGAUUUUAUACUAUGGUUAUGGAGCGAUCGAGUGGAGUCUGAAGACGUGCUAGAGUGCAUGCUCCCUCCCUUAGACUUUGCAGCGGCUGAUGGCUCUAUCGAUGGGUGCAUAGAGACGUCGGCUACUUUGAUGACUUCGGUCGAGGGGGGAGAGGAUCGUGGGCAGGUGGCCCCUCAUUCCCCCUCUCCUUCCGAUGUCUUGCCACAGAUGAGGACUACGGUGGAGGUGUCUGUGUUGCCGAUCGGUGACAUGGCCGUUUUGGGAGGGGGGGCCGGGCAGGAGGCCUUGGUUCCCUCCUCUCCUGCGGUGGUAGGGCGAGGGAGGCGGCAGGAGGCCUCGACUCCAUCCUCUCCUACGGUGGUCGGGGCGGCCGUGCCUGCGGCGGCCAUGGGUCCCGAGGAUUGGCAGUCACCUGCUCAGCUAUAGGGGAUGCUCCAGCUGACGCCGACCAGGGUGGUCGCAUCACCCGCAUGCUUGAAGGCAGGGUCGGGUGGGGAGCAGGGGCAAGCGGCCCUCACACUCACUUCCCCUCGCUCGCCUUUGGGCGGGCCGACGACUGUGCUGGCCGCGUCAGGUGGGGAGCGUGGGCAGGUGGCCCAGUCUCUUCCCCCGCGCUCACCGGGGUCGGUGCCUGCAGUUCUUGGCGCCUCUCUGGGUGAUGCAACCUGGCCGCAUGUUGGGGGUGGCGCUGGAGGCCUUACCCCUAACGGGCCCACUCGGGAGGUGGUCGUCGCUUUCGGAGGCAUUCCAGAUCAUGUUUCUGAGGGGCGGCGGAUGAGCUUCCGUUUCCAGGACCAGCCGGAUGUUGAUGACAUGCAGCUGAGGUGCGCCAAGCGGGUGGCCAAGCUUCAUGACAUUGAGGUCACUAUUGGUAUGUCGGUCAACACUUCCAAUUCCAUUCUGCAUUUUUCUAACGAUGAGAUUAUUCAUAAUGCAAAUCAGUUAGGAGUUUCACUAGUUUGCUUUGGUUAUGAAACUAGUCCUACUAUGAUGGGCAUCCAAGAGGGAUAUAAUAAAAACUUUCAUAUAAGUGCAUUGAAUACUAAGAGAAGUUUGAUACU